UGGGGAAUCUUGGACAAUGGGCGCAAGCCUGAUCCAGCCAUGCCGCGUGAGUGACGAAGGCCUUAGGGUUGUAAAGCUCUUUUGCCGGGGACGAUAAUGACGGUACCCGGAGAAUAAGUCCCCGGCUAACUUCGUGCCAGCAGCCGCGGUAAUACGAAGGGGACUAGCGUUGUUCGGAAUUACUGGGCGUAAAGCGCGCGUAGGUGGUUAGUUAAGUUGGAUGUGAAAUCCCGGAGCUCAACUUCGGAACUGCCUUUGAUACUGGCAAUCUAGAGUCCGGAAGAGGUUAGUGGAAUUCCCAGUGUAGAGGUGAAAUUCGUAGAUAUUGGGAAGAACACCAGUGGCGAAGGCGGCUCACUGGAUCGGUACUGACGCUGAGGUGCGAAAGCGUGGGGAGCAAACAGGAUUAGAUACCCCGGUAGUCCCUGAGCGGGCUGGCAAGGCGCAU
rnacentral:rRNA from 1 species